rnacentral:rRNA from 1 species
AUUGAACGCUGGCGGCAUGCUUUACACAUGCAAGUCGAACGGUAACAGGCCGCAAGGUGCUGACGAGCGGCGAACGGGUGAGUAAUGCAUCGGAACGUGCCCAGUCGUGGGGGAUAACGCAGCGAAAGCUGCGCUGAUACCGCAUACGAUCUGUGGAUGAAAGCGGGGGACCGUAAGGCCUCGCGCGAUUGGAGCGGCCGGUGUCCGAUUAGGUAGUUGGUGAGGUAAAGGCUCACCAAGCCGACGAUCUGUAGCUGGUCUGAGAGGACGACCAGCCACACUGGGACUGAGACACGGCCCAGACUCCUACGGGAGGCAGCAGCGGGGAAUUUUGGACAAUGGGGGCAACCCUGAUCCAGCAAUGCCGCGUGCAGGAAGAAGGCCUUCGGGUUGUAAACUGCUUUUGUACGGAACGAAACGGCUCCGGUUAAUACCCGGAGCUAAUGACGGUACCGUAAGAAUAAGCACCGGCUAACUACGUGCCAGCCGCCGCCGUAACAC